UGAUGAGCCGCUGCGCCGAAUCAA
rnacentral:sRNA from 1 species